rnacentral:lncRNA from 1 species
UAUUUCUGACUAGUCCGGACUCGUACGGGAUCGCAACUAUAAUUUAACUAAGCGCUUUAGUUAUAUUAGCAAUGGAGCAAAAGAUACGGAACAGGGGGGGGAUAAUUGGACUGCGGAAGAUAAGGUUUUGCUUCAAGAAUUAGUUCGUGAACGGGUGAAAAUUAUUGAAAAUAAGAACACGGAUACAAACUCAAAUAAGGCGAAACAAGAGGCCUAGAGAGACUUACAAGAGAGCUUCAGUGAGAUAUGUGCAACUAAGCGAACUGUGAUCCAAUUGAAAUCAGAGUGGACUAUUGUGAAAAUGACGGCAAAAAAAGCGAAGUCGAAAGAGAGGCGUGAACUUUUGAAAACUGGCGGUGGGGCGCAUACUGUUGCUGAACCAUUAUCAAACGAAGACAUCUCCGUUUGGCAGCCAAAUGAGUUUGUUGUCAACUUCAAUUCAUUUCAAAUCAGCAGGUUGUAGUAUUGGAAGAAUCCUUGCCCAUACAAAAUAGCGCCGAAUUGGAGGGAUGCGAAAAAAGUAAUAUCGAAGCAGACACAGUGGAGGUAAUGCAGGAAGCAGACAUCGUUGGCUCUAGCCAAGAUAAUGUUGAAAAUAUAAAGACACCAUCUCUUAAUACUAGUAGGGCAACUAAAAAGCGUAAGCAGGUAACUUAUGCCGUUUAUCUUUGAUAAAAAACAGUGGCCCUUAUUGCGAAUUUCUUGCGAACAAAUAUUUCCAAAAAUUAUAUAGCAAAGCAAAAACAUGUAUUCCCAAUUAAUUUUUGAUUUGCCUUAAAUUAUAGGAACGAUUUAUUCACAUUGAAUUGGCGAUAAGGCUGAACCAUAUACAAGCAUGUGUAUAAGGAGUAACAGCUAGUGACUAAAGGUUGACAUUAGAAUAAAGCACCGUGCUCUUUAUUACCCAAGCUAAAGCAUUGAUGAGACUUGAUGGGAAUUUUGGAAUUACAUAGUAUUUAAAUAGCACCUGCAUACAUUCGCAAUCAUAUGUGUGUACCAUGUGAAUGGCACAUUGUACCAAAGUCUAAAUAUCGAUUAUGUUGUUGUUGUUGUAGCGGCUACAACAACCCCGCC